UUUCCUGUCUAUUUCCCAUCA
rnacentral:miRNA from 1 species